rnacentral:lncRNA from 13 species
AAUGUAUUACCUAUGCUGUCACUUAGGUUAAAAAAAAAAAGGGAGGGGGUGGGUGAGGAUACAUAGAUGCUUGUCAUGUUUGUUGGCCAGGGUACCUGUAAAUUUCAAAAUGAAUUGUCUUGCAGCUCUGGAGUCUAGCACUUUGAGACAAAGGUGUUGGCAGCGCCGGUUCCUUCUGAGAGCCAUGAGGUUUAUAUGAGAGUCUGAAGGUCACAGAGGAGGCCCUCACCUGCCCACGUUGGUCAGCAAAGAUAAACCAAGAGAGUGGAAGGAGGAGGAUCC